UAGAUAAAUGCAUGGUAAACUGUUCUACAUUACUUCUAGUGAUCAUAAGAAAGGUCAGUAGUCAGUACUAAUAGAUAUUUAGUUUUUUA